rnacentral:rRNA from 1 species
UACGGAGGGUGCGAGCGUUGUCCGGAAUCAUUGGGCGUAAAGAGCGUGUAGGCGGCCCGGUAAGUCCGCUGUGAAAGUCGGGGGCUCAACCCUCGAAUGCCGGUGGAUACUGUCGGGCUAGAGUGCGGAAGAGGCGAGUGGAAUUCCUGGUGUAGCGGUGAAAUGCGCAGAUAUCAGGAGGAACACCAAUUGCGAAGGCAGCUCGCUGGGACGUAACUGACGCUGAGACGCGAAAGCGUGGGGAGCAAACAGG